CCGAAAGGUCUGAAAGCAGGUUUAUUGGGAGGAAUUCCUACUCGGGCUCAGGCCAGAGAAGUCGCACCAGGCAAGGUAUCCACUGAGCACACCAGCAUGGAGUGGAAAUCCAUCCUGUGAUCACAGAAACCAACCUUUGUAGGAGGCCCGUUUUUCUGCUGUGAAGUAUCCACCAAAGAAGAGCACGCACAUGUGGAUUCAAGGCAAUAGAAGAUCUUUAUUAGCAAGCUGUCAGCUGUGCUAAGUGUUCAGGACCUGCGUGCAGUCCUAAGCCUUUCUCAAGAAGCAAAAGAAGAGGAAGAAGAGGAAGAAGGAGGAGGACGAAGAGGAGGAGGAGAAGGAGGAGGAGGAGGAGAAGAAGGUAUUGCAUUAUCUAUGAUUCCAUCUUGUUGGCCGAAUGCUACCAUGUCCUCUUGGCUGCCUCAGUGAUGUGGGCAGCCCUGCUGAGAAAGCCAAAACCAAAGCACCUACUGCUAGAGCUAGGUGAUGCAGCCAUCUCUCAGACAGCCAGAAGCCAGGACCCUAAAGCCUACAGCUCCCAGAAGUUAGAGUUUUACUAGUAAUCUGAAUAAGCUUCGAAGAGGAUCCUUCCCCAUUUGAGCUUCCAGCAGCGAGCACAGCCUGCCUGGCACCUGUUAGGGGCUUGUGAGACUCAAAACAGAAGACCCCACUGUGUCUAACAGACCCAAAGAAACUGGGAGGUUAAACAAACUGUACUGUUUUAUGCCAAUAGCUUUGUGGUAGUUUAUUGUGCAGCAAGAGACAAUCAGUUCAUUAUCUGGCUCCCCAAAUGAUAUUUAGUAUCUUUUAAUUUUAUAUUUUCAGGGAUGAACAAAUCUGUAUAAUAGAAUAUAAUAUGUUAGCAAAAUGCAUUGCAAUAGAACAUCUCUGCAGGCCAUUUGGAUUCAUUUCUAUUUACAAUCGGGUGGAGAGGUCCUGUCAUCAAGGAAAGAACUUAAUGACCGUGGUAUGGUUUACUGUGGUGACGUCCAUGACUGGACUUUCCACAGAUACACUCUACAUUCCUGUACCAUCAUCUCGGACUCCUUUUCCCAGAAUAAUCUUAGUAUUUUAUGUUUCUGGAUUGCUACAGUUCUUCCAAUGGACAUCUUUUAUAAAGAGCUGUUGGAGGCUCAAAAGACGGGUUGUAGUUAAGAGUUAAGAGAGCCUGCUGUUAUGUCCUAAGGACUGGAGUUUGGAGCCCAGCAUCCAUGUAUCAAUGUGGGCUAUCCACGCCUGAACCUAUAAGCAAACGCGCGCACGCGCGCACACACACACGCGCACACACACACACACA